GCUGUGGCUCAGUGGUAGAGCACUUGCUUGGCAUGCAGAAGUUCGCAGGUUCAACCCCCAGCAUCUCCA
rnacentral:tRNA from 1 species